rnacentral:piRNA from 1 species
GGCACAGACCCAGGUGGUGUAUGGUUCCUGC